rnacentral:sRNA from 1 species
CUGACAGCUCCGAAAACUGAAACCAUCAAUUUGUCUUUAGAACAGGUCCAGCGGGGGCAGCAGCAGGGCACCAGGUCUCAACUCUGACCUGGAGGACAACCUCUUCAGGUGAGAGGGGAGCCCUGUCUCCAUGACCUAUUCAGUCCUCAGCUGAU